rnacentral:rRNA from 1 species
AAGAGGGAUAGGAGAAUUGGAGGGCAAGUUUGGUGCCAGCAGCCGCGGUAAUACCGACUCCAAGAGUGUGUAUGAGAGAUGCUGCAGUUAAAAAGUCCGUAGUCAUAGAAGGGCAAAGAGAGAUGCGAGGUCUCACAGUGCGAUGAUGGAGGAGCCGAUGGGGAACAUAGUAUACCAGGGCGAGAGAUGAAAUGCCAAGACCCCUGGUGGACUGAGCGAGGCGAAGGCGAUGUUCUUGUAGGCAUUCGGUGAUCAAGGACGAAGGCUGGAGUAUCGAAAGUGAUUAGAUACCGCAGUAGUUCCAGCAGUAAAAGAUGCCGACAUGCUCAUUGGACACAGUGGGCAGGGAGAAAUCUUAGAGUUCGGGCUCUGGGGAUAGUAUGCUCGCAAGGGUGAAAAUUAAAGAAAUUGACGGAGCUACACCACAAGGAGUGGAUUGUGCGGCUUAAUUUGACUCAACGCGAGGAAACUUACCAGGGCCAAGUAUUGUGUAGAAACGAGCAAUACAGGAGUGGUGCAUGGUCGUUGGAAAUUGAUGGGAUGACUUUGACCUUAAAUGGUUGAAUGAGUGAGAUCUUUUGGACAUGUUCCGCACGGAACAGGAAGGAAAAGGCUAUAACAGAUCCGAGAUGCCCUCAGAUGCCCUGGGCUGCACGCGCAAUACAAUAGCAGGUAGAGAGAGAGACAGGAAGGUGCUCAGAUGGACUAUGUGCUGUAAGGCACAUACGAAAGAGGAAUUCCUAGUAAGUGUGUAUCAACAAUGGAUAUUGAAUAAGUCCCUGUAGCUUGUACACACCGCCCGUCACUAUCUCAGAUG